GACGAACGCUGGCGGCAUGCUUAACACAUGCAAGUCGAACGGAGUGGCGAACGGGUGAGUAAAACGUGGGUGAUCUGCCUUGCACUUCGGGAUAAGCUUGGGAAACUGGGACUAAUACCGGAUAGUGCAAGAUGAGCUCGCGGCCUAUCAGCUUGUUGGUGGGUUAAGGGCCUACCAAGGCGUCGACGGGUAGCCGGCCUGAGAGGGUGUACGGCCACAUUGGGACUGGGAUACGGGGCAGACUCCUACGGGAGGAAGCAGGGGGGAGGAUUGCACAAUUGGGGGAAGCCUGAUGCAGCGACGCCGCGUGUGUGAUGUAGGCCUUCGGGGUGUAAACUCCUUUAGACAGGGACGCGGUACCUGUAUAAGAAGCACCGGCUAACUACGUGCCAGCAGCCGCGGUAAUAC
rnacentral:rRNA from 1 species